GAUGAACGCUGGCGGCGUGCCUAAUACAUGCAAGUCGAGCGAACAGAUGAGGAGCUUGCUCCUCUGACGUUAGCGGCGGACGGGUGAGUAACACGUGGAUAACCUACCUAUAAGACUGGGAUAACUUCGGGAAACCGGAGCUAAUACCGGAUAAUAUAUUGAACCGCAUGGUUCAAUAGUGAAAGACGGUUUUGCUGUCACUUAUAGAUGGAUCCGCGCCGCAUUAGCUAGUUGGUAAGGUAACGGCUUACCAAGGCAACGAUGCGUAGCCGACCUGAGAGGGUGAUCGGCCACACUGGAACUGAGACACGGUCCAGACUCCUACGGGAGGCAGCAGUAGGGAAUCUUCCGCAAUGGGCGAAAGCCUGACGGAGCAACGCCGCGUGAGUGAUGAAGGUCUUCGGAUCGUAAAACUCUGUUAUUAGGGAAGAACAAAUGUGUAAGUAACUAUGCACGUCUUGACGGUACCUAAUCAGAACGCCACGGCUAACUACGUG
rnacentral:rRNA from 1 species